rnacentral:rRNA from 1 species
CAGACCGCCAGCUAAGGUCCCAAAGUCAUGGUUAAGUGGGAAACGAUGUGGGAAGGCCCAGACAGCCAGGAUGUUGGCUUAGAAGCAGCCAUCAUUUAAAGAAAGCGUAAUAGCUCACUGGUCGAGUCGGCCUGCGCGGAAGAUGUAACGGGGCUAAACCAUGCACCGAAGCUGCGGCAGCGACGCUGAUGCGUUGUUGGGUAGGGGAGCGUUCUGUAAGCCUGUGAAGGUGGCCUGUGAGGGUUGCUGGAGGUAUCAGAAGUGCGAAUGCUGACAUAAGUAACGAUAAAGCGGGUGAAAAGCCCGCUCGCCGGAAGACCAAGGGUUCCUGUCCAACGUUAAUCGGGGCAGGGUGAGUCGACCCCUAAGGCGAGGCCGAAAGGCGUAGUCGAUGGGAAACGGGUUAAUAUUCCCGUACUUGGUGUUACUGCGAAGGGGGGACGGAGAAGGCUAUGUUGGCCGGGCGACGGUUGUCCCGGUUUAAGCGUGUAGGUGUGUGUUCCAGGUAAAUCCGGUUCACUUUAACACUGAGGCGUGAUGACGAGGCACUACGGUGCUGAAGCAACAAAUGCCCUGCUUCCAGGAAAAGCCUCUAAGCAUCAGGUAACAUCAAAUCGUACCCCAAACCGACACAGGUGGUCAGGUAGAGAAUACCAAGGCGCUUGAGAGAACUCGGGUGAAGGAACUAGGCAAAAUGGUGCCGUAACUUCGGGAGAAGGCACGCUGACACGUAGGUGAAGUGAUUUACUCAUGGAGCUGAAGUCAGUCGAAGAUACCAGCUGGCUGCAACUGUUUAUUAAAAACACAGCACUGUGCAAACACGAAAGUGGACGUAUACGGUGUGACGCCUGCCCGGUGCCGGAAGGUUAAUUGAUGGGGUCAGCGCAAGCGAAGCUCCUGAUCGAAGCCCCGGUAAACGGCGGCCGUAACUAUAACGGUCCUAAGGUAGCGAAAUUCCUUGUCGGGUAAGUUCCGACCUGCACGAAUGGCGUAAUGAUGGCCAGGCUGUCUCCACCCGAGACUCAGUGAAAUUGAACUCGCUGUGAAGAUGCAGUGUACCCGCGGCAAGACGGAAAGACCCCGUGAACCUUUACUAUAGCUUGACACUGAACAUUGAGCCUUGAUGUGUAGGAUAGGUGGGAGGCUUUGAAGCGUGGACGCCAGUCUGCAUGGAGCCGGCCUUGAAAUACCACCCUUUAAUGUUUGAUGUUCUAACGUGGACCCGUGAUCCGGGUUGCGGACAGUGUCUGGUGGGUAGUUUGACUGGGGCGGUCUCCUCCUAAAGAGUAACGGAGGAGCACGAAGGUUGGCUAAUCCUGGUCGGACAUCAGGAGGUUAGUGCAAUGGCAUAAGCCAGCUUGACUGCGAGCGUGACGGCGCGAGCAGGUGCGAAAGCAGGUCAUAGUGAUCCGGUGGUUCUGAAUGGAAGGGCCAUCGCUCAACGGAUAAAAGGUACUCCGGGGAUAACAGGCUGAUACCGCCCAAGAGUUCAUAUCGACGGCGGUGUUUGGCACCUCGAUGUCGGCUCAUCACAUCCUGGGGCUGAAGUAGGUCCCAAGGGUAUGGCUGUUCGCCAUUUAAAGUGGUACGCGAGCUGGGUUUAGAACGUCGUGAGACAGUUCGGUCCCUAUCUGCCGUGGGCGCUGGAGAACUGAGGGGGGCUGCUCCUAGUACGAGAGGACCGGAGUGGACGCAUCACUGGUGUUCGGGUUGUCAUGCCAAUGGCACUGCCCGGUAGCUAAAUGCGGAAGAGAUAAGUGCUGAAAGCAUCUAAGCACGAAACUUGCCCCGAGAUGAGUUCUCCCUGAGACUUAGAGUCUCCUGAAGGAACGUUGAAGACGACGACGUUGAUAGGCCGGGUGUGUAAGCGCAGCGAUGCGUUGAGCUAACCGGUACUAAUGAACCGUGAGGCUUAACCUUACAACGCCGAAG